CAGCCGCCACGGUAAUACGUAGGGUGCAAGCGUUAAUCGGAAUUACUGGGCGUAAAGCGUGCGCAGGCGGUUUGUUAAGACAGAUGUGAAAUCCCCGGGCUCGACCUGGGAACUGCAUUUGUGACUGGCAAGCUAGAGUAUGGCAGAGGGGGGUGGAAUUCCGCGUGUAGCAGUGAAAUGCGUAGAUAUGCGGAGGAACACCGAUGGCGAAGGCAGCCCCUGGGCCAAUACUGACGCUCAUGCACGAAAGCGUGGGGAGCAAACAGGAUUAGAUACCCCAGUAGUCCCUGUCUCUUAUACA
rnacentral:rRNA from 1 species